rnacentral:rRNA from 1 species
AUUGAACGCUGGCGGCAGGCCUAACGCAUGCAAGUCGAGCGGAUGAAGGGAGCUUGCUCCUGGAUUCAGCGGCGGACGGGUGAGUAAUGCCUAGGAAUCUGCCUGGUAGUGGGGGAUAACGUCCGGAAACGGGCGCUAAUACCGCAUACGUCCUGAGGGAGAAAGUGGGGGAUCUUCGGACCUCACGCUAUCAGAUGAGCCUAGGUCGGAUUAGCUAGUUGGUGGGGUAAAGGCCUACCAAGGCGACGAUCCGUAACUGGUCUGAGAGGAUGAUCAGUCACACUGGAACUGAGACACGGUCCAGACUCCUACGGGAGGCAGCAGUGGGGAAUAUUGGACAAUGGGCGAAAGCCUGAUCCAGCCAUGCCGCGUGUGUGAAGAAGGUCUUCGGAUUGUAAAGCACUUUAAGUUGGGAGGAAGGGCGGUAAGUUAAUACCUUGCUGUUUUGACGUUACCAACAGAAUAAGCACCGGCUAACUUCGUG